rnacentral:rRNA from 1 species
AGUGAACGCUGGCGGUAGGCCUAACACAUGCCAGUCGAACGGCAGCACAGUAAGAGCUUGCUCUUACGGGUGGCGAGUGGCGGACGGGUGAGGAAUACAUCGGAAUCUACUUUUUCGUGGGGGAUAACGUAGGGAAACUUACGCUAAUACCGCAUACGACCUACGGGUGAAACCAGGGGAUCUUCGGACCUUGCGCGAUUGAAUGAGCCGAUGUCGGAUUAGCUAGUUGGCGGGGUAAAGGCCCACCAAGGCGACGAUCCGUAGCUGGUCUGAGAGGAUGAUCAGCCACACUGGAACUGAGACACGGUCCAGACUCCUACGGGAGGCAGCAGUGGGGAAUAUUGGACAAUGGGCGCAAGCCUGAUCCAGCCAUACCGCGUGGGUGAAGAAGGCCUUCGGGUUGUAAAGCCCUUUUGUUGGGAAAGAAAAGCAGCAGGUUAAUACCCCGCUGUUCUGACGGUACCCAAAGAAUAAGCACCGGCUAACUUCGUG